GAAAUAGCUCCAGCAGUACAUAUUCUAGAAUUGAAAUGGCACAGAGAAGAUUAGCAUGGCCCCUGCACAAAGAUGGCAUACGAAUUCCUGAAGCGUUCUAUAUUUAU